rnacentral:Y_RNA from 1 species
GGUUGGUCCGAGUGCAGUGGUGUUUACAACUAAUUGAUCACAACCAGUUACAGAUUCCUUUGUUCCUUCUCCACUCCCACUGCUUCACUUGACCAGCCUUUA